rnacentral:lncRNA from 1 species
CUAUGUCAGUUCAUGGGUUAACUUGGGAUCACUUGUGGUUCCAAGCACUAUGUGGCAUCGAGGGUGUACUCCCAGUGCAUUACAAACUUGGUAUCAGAGCCCAGAUUUCAAGUAUCCUAGGGUGACUAUGAAUCCAUGUCUAGUACAGUCUUCAGGAAUAGUACGAAGAUGUCUGUACUUUUCUUUGAGAGGCUAUAGGGCAUUUAGGAAAUUAUUCCCU